GAUCAUGGCUCAGGAUGAACGCUAGCUACAGGCUUAACACAUGCAAGUCGAGGGGCAGCAUGAACUUAGCUUGCUAAGUUUGAUGGCGACCGGCGCACGGGUGAGUAACACGUAUCCAACCUUCCGUUUACUCAGGGAUAGCCUUUCGAAAGAAAGAUUAAUACCUGAUAGUAUGGUGAGAUUGCAUGAUAACACCAUUAAAGAUUUAUUGGUAAACGAUGGGGAUGCGUCCA
rnacentral:rRNA from 1 species